rnacentral:rRNA from 1 species
GACGUAGGGGGCCAGCGUUGUUCGGAAUUACUGGGUGUAAAGGGUUCGUAGGCGGUGCGGCAAGUUGGGAGUGAAAUCUCUGGGCUUAACCCAGAGGCUGCUUCCAAAACUGCUGUGCUUGAGUGUGGGAGAGGCGCGUGGAAUUGCAGGUGUAGCGGUGAAAUGCGUAGAUAUCUGCAGGAACACCCGUGGCGAAAGCGGCGCGCUGGACCACUACUGACGCUGAAGAACGAAAGCUAGGGGAGCAAACAGG